AUGAAGAUAAUAAGUUACAAUAUUAAAGGUUUGGGGGAUGCUGUUAAAAAGAAGGAAGUUGCUCAGAUUAUAGUAAGAUAUCGCCCGAACGUAAUUGGCAUCCAAGAAGCCAAAAUGAAGGAGAUAGAAUCACAUCAUUGUGAAGCCAUGUGGGGUAAUGCAUUAUUUGGGGUCUGUAUUAAGGCAAAUGUGGGAAGAUUGGGGGGAAUGAUACUGUUGUGGGAUUCUAAGGUUAUAAAGAAACGGGCGGAAUUUUGCGGAGACAAUUAUAUUGGGAUUCAAGGUUUGUGGGGUCAGGAAGAAUUGUAG